AGAGUUUGAUCCUGGCUCAGGACGAACGCCGGCGGCGUGCUUCAUACAUGCAAGUCGAACGGUGAACCAUCUUCGGGUGGGGAUCAGUGGCGAACGGGUGGGUAACACGUGAGCAACCUGCCCCUGACUCUGGGAUAACUCCGGGAAACCGGAGCUAAUACCGGAUAUGACGCAUCCAGGCAUCUGGUGUGUGUGGAAAGAUUUAUCGGUCAGGGAUGGGCUCGCGGCCUAUCAGCUUGUUGGUGGGGUAGUGGCCUACCAAGGCGACGACGGGUAGCCGGCCUGAGAGGGCGACCGGCCACACUGGGACUGAGACACGGCCCAGACUCCUACGGGAGGCAGCAGUGGGGAAUAUUGCGCAAUGGGCGAAAGCCUGACGCAGCGACGCCGCGUGGGGGAUGAAGGCCUUCGGGUUGUAAACCUCUUUCAGCAGGGAAGAAGCGAGAGUGACGGUACCUGCAGAAGAAGCACCGGCUAACUACGUGCCAGCAGCCGCGGUAAUACGUAGGGUGCAAGCGUUGUCCGGAAUUAUUGGGCGUAAAGAGCUCGUAGGCGGUUUGUCGCGUCUGCUGUGAAAACUCAGGGCUUAACCCUGGGCCUGCAGUGGGUACGGGCAGACUAGAGUGCGGUAGGGGAGACUGGAAUUCCUGGUGUAGCGGUGAAAUGCGCAGAUAUCAGGAGGAACACCGGUGGCGAAGGCGGGUCUCUGGGCCGUAACUGACGCUGAGGAGCGAAAGCGUGGGGAGCGAACAGGAUUAGAUACCCCGGUAGUCC
rnacentral:rRNA from 1 species